GAUGAACGCUGGCGGCGUGCCUAAUACAUGCAAGUCGAGCGAAUGGAUUAAGAGCUUGCUCUUAUGAAGUUAGCGGCGGACGGGUGAGUAACACGUGGGUAACCUGCCCAUAAGACUGGGAUAACUCCGGGAAACCGGGGCUAAUACCGGAUAAUAUUUUGAACUGCAUGGUUCAAAAUUGAAAGGCGGCUUCGGCUGUCACUUAUGGAUGGACCCGCGUCGCAUUAGCUAGUUGGUGGGGUAAUGGCCCACCAAGGCGACGAUCAGUAGCUGGUCUGAGAGGAUGAUCAGCCACAUAGGGACUGAGACACGGCCCAAACUCCUACGGGAGGCAGCAGUGGGGAAUAGUGGACAAUGGGCGCAAGCCUGAUCCAGCCAUGCCGCGUGAGUGAAGAAGGCCCUCGGGUUGUAAAGCUCUUUUGUGAGGGAAGAACAGCUUCCGGAGGAAAUGCCGGAGGUUUGCCGGUACCUCACCAGAAAGCCCCGGCUAACUACGUGCCAGCCGCCGCCGUAA
rnacentral:rRNA from 1 species